AGAGUUUGAUCCUGGCUCAGGACGAACGCUGGCGGCGCGCCUAACACAUGCAAGUCGAACGAGCGAGAGAGAGCUUGCUUUCUCGAGCGAGUGGCGAACGGGUGAGUAACGCGUGAGGAACCUGCCUCAAAGAGGGGGACAACAGUUGGAAACGACUGCUAAUACCGCAUAAGCCCACGACCCGGCAUCGGGUAGAGGGAAAAGGAGCAAUCCGCUUUGAGAUGGCCUCGCGUCCGAUUAGCUAGUUGGUGAGGUAACGGCCCACCAAGGCGACGAUCGGUAGCCGGACUGAGAGGUUGAACGGCCACAUUGGGACUGAGACACGGCCCAGACUCCUACGGGAGGCAGCAGUGGGGAAUAUUGCACAAUGGGGGAAACCCUGAUGCAGCGACGCCGCGUGGAGGAAGAAGGUCUUCGGAUUGUAAACUCCUGUUGUUGAGGAAGAUAAUGACGGUACUCAACAAGGAAGUGACGGCUAACUACGUGCCAGCAGCCGCGGUAAAACGUAGGUCACAAGCGUUGUCCGGAAUUACUGGGUGUAAAGGGAGCGCAGGCGGGAAGACAAGUUGGAAGUGAAAUCCAUGGGCUCAACCCAUGAACUGCUUUCAAAACUGUUUUUCUUGAGUAGUGCAGAGGUAGGCGGAAUUCCCGGUGUAGCGGUGGAAUGCGUAGAUAUCGGGAGGAACACCAGUGGCGAAGGCGGCCUACUGGGCACCAACUGACGCUGAGGCUCGAAAGCAUGGGUAGCAAACAGGAUUAGAUACCCUGGUAGUCCAUGCCGUAAACGAUGAUUACUAGGUGUUGGAGGAUUGACCCCUUCAGUGCCGCAGUUAACACAAUAAGUAAUCCACCUGGGGAGUACGACCGCAAGGUUGAAACUCAAAGGAAUUGACGGGGGCCCGCACAAGCAGUGGAGUAU
rnacentral:rRNA from 1 species